GCGGUCAUACCACAUUGGUAACAUCGACUCCUGUCCAAUCACCGAAGUUAAGCAAUCCCAGACCUGGUCAGUACUUGGGAGGGUGACCACCUAGGAACACCGGGUGCUGCUGUAGGAU
rnacentral:rRNA from 1 species